UACAGAGGGGGCAAGCGUUGUUCGGAAUUACUGGGCGUAAAGGGCGCGUAGGCGGCGACUCUAGUCAGAUGUGAAAGUCCUGGGCUUAACCUGGGGACUGCAUUUGAUACUGGGUUGCUUGAAUUCGGGAGAGGAUAGCGGAAUUCCCAGUGUAGAGGUGAAAUUCGUAGAUAUUGGGAAGAACACCGGUGGCGAAGGCGGCUAUCUGGACCGACAUUGACGCUGAGGCGCGAAAGCGUGGGGAGCAAACAGG
rnacentral:rRNA from 1 species